AUUGAACGCUGGCGGCAGGCCUAACACAUGCAAGUCGAACGGUAACAGGAAACAGCUUGCUGUUUCGCUGACGAGUGGCGGACGGGUGAGUAAUGUCUGGGAAACUGCCUGAUGGAGGGGGAUAACUACUGGAAACGGUAGUUAAUACCGCAUAACGUCGCAAGACCAAAGAGGGGGACCUUCGGGCCUCUUGCCAUCGGAUGUGCCCAGAUGGGAUUAGCUAGUAGGUGGGGUAACGGCUCACCUAGGCGACGAUCCCUAGCUGGUCUGAGAGGAUGACCAGCCACACUGGAACUGAGACACGGUCCAGACUCCUACGGGAGGCAGCAGUGGGGAAUAUUGCACAUUGGGCGCAAGCCUGAUGCAGCCAUGCCGCGUGUAUGAAGAAGGCCUUCGGGUUGUAAAGUACUUUCAGCGGGGAGGAAGGGAGUAAAGUCAAUACCUUUGCUCAUUGACGUUACCCGCAGAAGAAGCACCGGCUAACUCCGUGCCAGCAGCCGCAGUAA
rnacentral:rRNA from 1 species